AAGUCGUAACAAGGUUUCCGUAGGUGAACCUGCGGAAGGAUCAUUAACACUAUUUUUCUCUUUAUCUAACUACGCGCACAGUAGAGGCCUAUGGCUGCAGAGUAUCAGCGGACAAUGGUACUUCCGAGAGUCUGGUUCGCCGGACCGACGGUUGUUCGGGAGUCUGGGACGUCAAUGCGCCCCGGACCGACGAGGAUGUUGCUGGUUCAUGAACACGCGCAAGCGUGAGUCCAACUCUGACUCUAUAGGUCGUACACAGCCUCAUGCCAUGGCUGGCCCUUUUUUUUUCAACCUGAAGUUUGUACUGAUUUUUCGGUCUCGGAUCGAGAGCUGGUGCGUCUUUAUUGAUGAACAGCUUUCUCUUGGAUCGUAUGGAUUUUUCUAAUCCAAACACAACUCUUAACAGCGGAUAUCUCGGUUCUC
rnacentral:misc_RNA from 1 species